rnacentral:rRNA from 1 species
AACGAACGCUGGCGGCAGGCCUAACACAUGCAAGUCGAGCGCACCCUUCGGGGUGAGCGGCGGACGGGUGAGUAACGCGUGGGAACGUGCCCUUCUCUGCGGAAUAGCCUCGGGAAACUGAGAGUAAUACCGCAUACGCCCUUUCGGGGAAAGAUUUAUCGGAGAAGGAUCGGCCCGCGUUGGAUUAGGUAGUUGGUGGGGUAAUGGCCCACCAAGCCGACGAUCCAUAGCUGGUUUGAGAGGAUGAUCAGCCACACUGGGACUGAGACACGGCCCAGACUCCUACGGGAGGCAGCAGUGGGGAAUCUUAGACAAUGGGGGCAACCCUGAUCUAGCCAUGCCGCGUGAGUGAUGAAGGCCUUAGGGUUGUAAAGCUCUUUCAGCUGGGAAGAUAAUGACGGUACCAGCAGAAGAAGCCCCGGCUAACUCCGUG